GAAUUUUGGACAAUGGGCGCAAGCCUGAUCCAGCAAUGCCGCGUGCGGGAAGAAGGCCUUCGGGUUGUAAACCGCUUUUGUCAGGGAAGAAAAGCUCCGGGCUAAUACCUCGGAGUCAUGUCGGUACCUGAAGAAUAAGCACCGGCCAACUACGCGCCAGCAGCCGCGGUAAUACGUAGGGUGCAAGCGUUAAUCGGAAUUACUGGGCGUAAAGCGUGCGCAGGCGGUCAUGCAAGACAGAUGUGAAAUCCCCGGGCUCAACCUGGGAACUGCAUUUGUGACUGCAUGGCUAGAGUGCGGCAGAGGGGGAUGGAAUUCCGCGUGUAGCAGUGAAAUGCGUAGAUAUGCGGAGGAACACCGAUGGCGAAGGCAAUCCCCUGGGCCUGCACUGACGCUCAUGCACGAAAGCGUGGGGAGCAAACAGG
rnacentral:rRNA from 1 species